GAUGAACGCUGGCGGCGUGCCUAAUACAUGCAAGUCGAGCGAAUGGAUUAAGAGCUUGCUCUUAUGAAGUUAGCGGCGGACGGGUGAGUAACACGUGGGUAACCUGCCCAUAAGACUGGGAUAACUCCGGGAAACCGGGGCUAAUACCGGAUAACAUUUUGAACCGCAUGGGUCGAAAUUGAAAGGCGGCUUCGGCUGUCACUUAUGGAUGGACCCGCGUCGCAUUAGCUAGUUGGUGAGGUAACGGCUCACCAAGGCAACGAUGCGUAGCCGACCUGAGAGGGUGAUCGGCCCCACAGGGACUGAGACACGACCCAGACUCCUACGGGAGGCAGCAGUAGGGAAUCUUCCGCAAUGGACGAAAGUCUGACGGAGCAACGCCGCGUGAGUGAUGAAGGCUUUCGGGUCGUAAAACUCUGUUGUUAGGGAAGAACAAGUGCUAGUUGAAUAAGCUGGCACCUUGACGGUACCUAACCAGAAAGCCACGGCUAACUACGUGCCAGCCGCCGCAGUAA
rnacentral:rRNA from 1 species